CCUACGGGAGGCAGCAGUGAGGAAUAUUGGUCAAUGGUCGGGAGACUGAACCAGCCAAGCCGCGUGAGGGAUGAAGGUACAGAGUAUCGUAAACCUCUUUUGUCAGGGAACAAAGGCGGGGACGUGUCCCCGGAUGAGUGUACCUGAAGAAAAAGCAUCGGCUAACUCCGUGCCAGCAGCCGCGGUAAUACGGAGGAUGCGAGCGUUAUCCGGAUUUAUGGGGUUUAAAGGGUGCGCAGGCGGUCUGUUAAGUCAGCGGUCAAAGCCCGGGGCUCACCCCCGGCCCGCCGUUGAAACUGGCAGUCUCGAGUGGGAGAGAAGUAUGCGGAAUGCGCGGUGUAGCGGUGAAAUGCAUAGAUAUCGCGCAGAACUCCGAUUGCGAAGGCAGCAUGCCGGCUCCACACUGACGCUGAGGCACGAAAGCGUGGGUAUCGAACAGGAUUAGAUAUCCGUGUAGUC
rnacentral:rRNA from 1 species